rnacentral:rRNA from 1 species
GACGAACGCUGGCGGCGUGCCUAGUACAUGCAAGUUGAGCGCUGAAGGUUGGUACUUGUACCAACUGGAUGAGCAGCGAACGGGUGAGUAACGCGUGGGGAAUCUGCCUUUGAGCGGGGGACAACAUUUGGAAACGAAUGCUAAUACCGCAUAAAAACUUUAAACACAAGUUUUAAGUUUGAAAGAUGCAAUUGCAUCACUCAAAGAUGAUCCCGCGUUGUAUUAGCUAGUUGGUGAGGUAAAGGCUCACCAAGGCGAUGAUACAUAGCCGACCUGAGAGGGUGAUCGGCCACAUUGGGACUGAGACACGGCCCAAACUCCUACGGGAGGCAGCAGUAGGGAAUCUUCGGCAAUGGACGAAAGUCUGACCGAGCAACGCCGCGUGAGUGAAGAAGGUUUUAGGAUCGUAAAACUCUGUUGGUAGAGAAGAACGUUGGUGAGAGUGGAAAGCUCAUCAAGUGACGGUAACUACCCAGAAAGGGACGGCUAACUACGUG